UCGAGGGAGAAGCCUUCGGGCUAAAACCGGCGCACGGGUGCGUAACGCGUAUACAAUCUGCCUUUUAUCCGGGGGAUAGCCCGAAGAAAUUUGGAUUAAUACCCUAUGGUAUAAGAGCACGGCAUCGUGCACUUAUUAAAGCUACGGCGGUAAAAGAUGAGUAUGCGUUCUAUUAGCUAGUUGGAGAGGUAACGGCUCCCCAAGGCGACGAUAGAUAGGGGUUCUGAGAGGGAUGUCCCCCACACUGGUACUGAGAUACGGACCAGACUCCUACGGGAGGCAGCAGUGAGGAAUAUUGGACAAUGGUCGGAAGACUGAUCCAGCCAUGCCGCGUGCAGGAUGACGGCCUUAUGGGUUGUAAACUGCUUUUGUAAGGGAAGAAUAAGGAGUACGUGUACUUUGAUGACGGUACCUUACGAAUAAGCAUCGGCUAACUCCGUGCCAGCAGCCGCGGUAAUACGGAGGAUGCGAGCGUUAUCCGGAAUCAUUGGGUUUAAAGGGUCCGUAGGCGGGCUAAUAAGUCAGGGGUGAAAUCGUUCAGCUCAACUGAGCAACUGCCUUUGAAACUGUUAGUCUUGAAUAGUUGUGAAGUAGUUGGAAUGUGUAGUGUAGCGGUGAAAUGCUUAGAGAUUACACAGAACACCGAUAGCGAAGGCAUAUUACUAACAAUUGAUUGACGCUGAUGGACGAAAGCGUGGGGAGCGAACAGGAU
rnacentral:rRNA from 1 species